UUCUUUUCAUCGAUUUUCUAUCUUAAAAUUGUGACGCUUAAGCUAGUAAAACCAAUUCCCAAAAAACACCAUUUUUUCUUUCACGCAAUCACAACCGUUGAUAAUAAACCGUCCAUUCUUUUUAGGAAUCUCUACUAGCCAUUUGUCCACCUCAACUAAGAUCCGCUCUUGCACCUAAGGAUGUCAAUGUCCUAAUGAAAUUUCGAGGCAAUUAGCUAGUUGACUAAAUAUUAAAAACAAUCCAAAAAUUAUUUGGUGUGAAUGAGAAUACGAAAAUUAAUAAUAAUAAUAAUAAUAAAAAAAGGUGUCACAGUCACAAUAAAUCACGUAUACACGUUAUUCAUCUGUAUCUUCUUGAUUAAGAACUAAUCCAAUCGCCAAAAACCUCAUCUCAUCCUUUCUUGCUCUCUCCUCAAUCCCUGUUGAUCGAGCUGUAAACAAUGGGGAAAUGCGCGAUGUUCUGCGAAAUCCUUCUCGCAAUCUUACUCCCUCCUCUCGGCGUCUUCUUCCGCCAUGGCUGUUGCAGCUGUGAAUUCUGGUUAUGCGUGCUGUUGACGAUCUUAGGGUAUGUUCCUGGAAUGAUCUAUGCUAUUUACGCAAUCGUUGUUGUUGAUCGCGAUCGAUGGUACAAUGAUGGGGGAUAUUAUAUUCGAGUUGCUUAAUUUUUAUUGUAAAAUGUAAAUUACUUACACGAACUAUUUUCUGAUGUCUUGUGGAUCUGAUUUAUAUUUAUAUUUUUAAUUGGAUUGUUGUA